GACGAACGCUGGCGGCGUGCCUAAUACAUGCAAGUAGAACGCUGGAGGAGGAGCUUGCUUCUCUGGAUGAGUUGCGAACGGGUGAGUAACGCGUAGGUAACCUGCGUGGUAGCGGGGGAUAACUGUUGGAAACGAUAGCUAAUACCGCAUAAUAGUAGAUGUUACAUGACAUUUUCUUAAAAGGUGCAAUUGCAUCACUACCAGAUCGACCUGCGUUGUAUUAGGUAGUUGGUGCGGUAACGGCUCACCAAGGCAACGAUACAUAGCCGACCCGGGAGGGAGAUCCGCCAACCCGGGAACGGGAACACGCCCAGACUCCUUCGGGAGGCCGCCGGAGGGAAUUUUCGGAAAUUGACGGAAGGCCGGCCGCGCAACGCCGCGUGAGUGGAGGAGGGUUUCGGGUCGUUAAACCCUGUUGAAAGGGGAGAAAGGGUGGGAAGGUAGAAACUUCACGCUGUGACGGUAUCUAACCAGAAAGGGACGGCUAACUACGUG
rnacentral:rRNA from 1 species